UACGUAGGCAGCAAGCGUUGUUCGGAGUUACUGGGCGUAAAGAGUAUGUAGGCGGUGUUCUAAGUUCGGUGUGAAAUCUCCCGGCUCAACUGGGAGGGUGCGCCGAAGACUGGGAUGCUGGAGUCUCGGAGAGGAACGCGGAAUUCCUGGUGUAGCGGUGAAAUGCGUAGAUAUCAGGAGGAACACCAGUGGUGUAGACGGCGUUCUGGACGAGUACUGACGCUGAGAUACGAAAGCGUGGGGAGCAAACGGG
rnacentral:rRNA from 1 species